GUCUAAAGUGGAGUUCCGCAAAGUACGAACAUCCUGUUAAAUGAUGUGUGGAUAGACCUUUUACUCUUGCUCCUGCCCCAAGAGUUGGCUAUCCCUCACACUUUGCACUAGUGAGAUCACCCUUCGCUCUACCCAUACUCACUACCCUGCUGCACAAUUUACACUUUGAAAUUCACAUUUUUUUGGAGGCUGUCAAAGUGAUUCCAAACUUUCCUUUGGCACAAUGUAUUAACCUCAAACCUUGGCCUUGUGGCAGGUGGAAGAUGCUGUUGUAUUUGUAUCUUUGGAAGCUGUCACAACACUAGCUUCAACACUAGUAGUUGGUCGACUAAU